AGAGUUUGAUCCUGGCUCAGAUUGAACGCUGGCGGCAGGCCUAACACAUGCAAGUCGAGCGGUAGAGAGAAGCUUGCUUCUCUUGAGAGCGGCGGACGGGUGAGUAAUGCCUAGGAAUCUGCCUGGUAGUGGGGGAUAACGUUCGGAAACGGACGCUAAUACCGCAUACGUCCUACGGGAGAAAGCAGGGGACCUUCGGGCCUUGCGCUAUCAGAUGAGCCUAGGUCGGAUUAGCUAGUUGGUGGGGUAAUGGCUCACCAAGGCGACGAUCCGUAACUGGUCUGAGAGGAUGAUCAGUCACACUGGAACUGAGACACGGUCCAGACUCCUACGGGAGGCAGCAGUGGGGAAUAUUGGACAAUGGGCGAAAGCCUGAUCCAGCCAUGCCGCGUGUGUGAAGAAGGUCUUCGGAUUGUAAAGCACUUUAAGUUGGGAGGAAGGGUUGUAGAUUAAUACUCUGCAAUUUUGACGUUACCGACAGAAUAAGCACCGGCUAACUCUGUGCCAGCAGCCGCGGUAAUACAGAGGGUGCAAGCGUUAAUCGGAAUUACUGGGCGUAAAGCGCGCGUAGGUGGUUUGUUAAGUUGGAUGUG
rnacentral:rRNA from 1 species